rnacentral:rRNA from 1 species
GACUAAGCGUACACGGUGGAUGCCCUGGCAGUCAGAGGCGAUGAAGGACGUGCUAAUCUGCGAAAAGCGUCGGUAAGGUGAUAUGAACCGUUAUAACCGGCGAUGUCCGAAUGGGGAAACCCAGUGUGAUUCGUCACACUAUCGUUAACUGAAUACAUAGGUUAGGACGUGCUAAUCUGCGAAAAGCGUCGGUAAGGUGAUAUGAACCGUUAUAACCGGCGAU